rnacentral:lncRNA from 1 species
GGAUGCAGCCAGGCUUUGAAUCUGCAAGGCCAUUCAAUGCUAGUGAAGGUGGCCAAUGGCAACAUUCCCAUUGGCCUCUACCUGCCAAGGGUUCUUUUUCCCACCCUGGACAUUAUUCCACAGGGAUAUAUAUAAACCACACUGGCCUAGUUUCCAACAGACCUCACCACCUCUGAGGAUGCCAGCCAUAGAUGUGGGCGAAACGUCAGGAGAGAAUGCUUCUGGCACAUGGGCAGGCAGCUGGAAAACUCACAGGAACGCAAUGAUGCCAUUUGUUUCUGGGAUAGUUUCUUAAGCAUUGCCCAUCAGAGAGUAGUAGCAUCCCUCUCUGAGGUUCCCCCCAACCCUGGCUGAGUCCCUGCCCUCCCUUUGGCUUCUCUGGCACCCCCGAGCAGGGCCAGCCCCCCCUCCCCCGCUCCCUCUCCCUCCCUCUACGUGGAGUUCCCCACCAGGCCUGUCCCUGCCAGGGACCCCCAGGCCGAGGGAGGCGGGGAGGGGGCUCUUCGGGAGGAACAGCCUCGUGGGGGUCCUUCCCGCAGUGCUGCUCCUUUAAGGCCAAGCCCCGCCUCUCUUUGGGCGCCUGCCUCCGCCCCCAGGGUGACGUCACGGCAAGGCCAGCCCCGCCCCGAUCCCUUGGAAACAGGCAGGCAGAGGGGAGGGGGGCCUCCGCGGGCGGAAGUGAGGGGGCGCUUCCGGUUGGGCCCAGCCGAGGGAGAGGCGCCAACUCUUCGCGUGUUCCUCGGGAGCCUCGCGCGGACUCAGAACCCGGACCCUUCCCCCGGCAGAGAAGGCUGUCCUGCGGAAGGAGGGAGGCUGCAGGGUGGGAGUGGCAGAAGAGGCUCCAGGCUGAAGUGGAAAAGAACCUGCAGGUGCAGAAAGGUGAGGCGGACUUGGGAGUUGAAAAAGCCACCCUCGGCUUAUACUUGGGUGCUUUCCUGCCAGGACCCUCAUCUCUCCGCACAGCAACCCAGCUCUCCUUCCUCUUCUGCUCUCUUGUGCAGUGCUCACCUUCCUCUCUUCCUUUCUCGACGCAGUGCACACCUUCCUCUCCUCUCUCAACACAGGGCGCACCUUCCUCUCCUCUCUUGAUGCAGUGCGCACCUUCCUCUUCUCUCUCGACGCAGUGCGCACCUUCCUCUCCUCUCUCGGUGAAGUGCGCACCUUCCUCUCCUCCUCUCGACGCAGUGCGCACCUUCCUCUCUUCCUUUCUCAACACAGAGCGCACCUUCCUCUCCUCUCUUGAUGCAGUGCGCACCUUCCUUUUCUCCUCUCGACGCAGUGCGCACCUUCCUCUCUCGGUGCAGAGUGUACCUUCCUCUCCUCCUUUCUCGAUGCAGUGCGCACCUUCCUCUCCUCUCUUGACGCAGUGCGCAUUCGUGAAGAAAUGGCCCGUGUUCGGCUCCGGAGCAGACGGUGCCACGCCGGCGGACACCGCUUG